UACACAGCAUAAGUACUCAAUGAUAUUUUUUUUAUUUGAUAAACCGGUUUUUCAAAUAAAUAAAACAUAAUCGAGUACUAAAACCCGAUCCGCUGAUAAACAGCAAUCUGUGCAACGGGUACUGACACCCGACCAGCUCAAAAAAUAUCUAAUCAGUGGUGUACGACUCGCAAGGUUUCUUGUAAUUUAGCGAACGGGGAUUCUGGGAUGUCUAGUACAGCCAGAUUUAUAAACAAUAACAUUAACUUUAAGACGUUUUGAAGAAUUCGUAAAGAAAAAUGCUUUUGUAAUGAUGGUUAUCUUAUUUUAAAUCUUAUUUAAAAAAAAAAAUGUUUUAAUAAAAUAUAG
rnacentral:misc_RNA from 1 species